GACGAACGCUGGCGGCGUGCUUAACACAUGCAAGUCGAGCGAAGAGCGACGGAAGCUUGCUUCUAUCAAUCUUAGUGGCGAACGGGUGAGUAACGCGUAAUCAACCUGCCCUUCAGAGGGGGACAACAGUUGGAAACGACUGCUAAUACCGCAUACGAUCUAACCUCGGCAUCGAGGAUAGAUGAAAGGUGGCCUCUACAUGUAAGCUAUCACUGAAGGAGGGGAUUGCGUCUGAUUAGCUAGUUGGAGGGGUAACGGCCCACCAAGGCGAUGAUCAGUAGCCGGUCUGAGAGGAUGAACGGCCACAUUGGGACUGAGACACGGCCCAGACUCCUACGGGAGGCAGCAGUGGGGAAUCUUCCGCAAUGGACGAAAGUCUGACGGAGCAACGCCGCGUGAGUGAUGACGGCCUUCGGGUUGUAAAGCUCUGUUAAUCGGGACGAAAGGCCUUCUUGCGAAUAGUGAGAAGGAUUGACGGUACCGGAAUAGAAAGCCACGGCUAACUACGUG
rnacentral:rRNA from 1 species